GACAGAGGUUGCAAACGUUGUUCGGAAUUACUGGGCAUAAAGCGCACGUAGGUGGUCCGCUACGUCGUGUGUGAAAUACCCCGGCUCAACCGGGGAAUUGCGCACGAUACUGGCGGGCUCGAGGUCGGGAGGGGUGAGUGGAACUCCUGGUGGAGCGGUGAAAUGCGUAGAUAUCAGGAGGAACACCGGUGGCGAAAGCGGCUCACUGGCCCGAAUCUGACACUGAGGUGCGAAAGCUAGGGUAGCAAACGGG
rnacentral:rRNA from 1 species